GCCCUUAUCCGCGGCCGCUGCAGAGUUUGAUCCUGGCUCAGAGCGAACGCUGGCGGCGUGCCUAACACAUGCAAGUCGAGCGGACUAUAGGAAGGGGUAACUCUUUCUAUAGUUAGCGGCGAACGGGUGAGUAACACGUGGGUAACCUGCCCUUAGGAAGGGGAUAACUCGGGGAAACCUGAGCUAAUACCCUAUAAGACCACGAGCUGAAAGGCUUGUGGUAAAAGGAGAAAUCCACCUAAGGAUGGGCCCGCGGCCUAUCAGGUAGUUGGUAGGGUAAUGGCCUACCAAGCCUAUGACGGGUAGCCGAGCUGAGAGGCUGGCCGCCCACACUGGGACUGAGACACGGCCCAGACUCCUACGGGAGGCAGCAGUGGGGAAUAUUGGGCAAUGGGCGAAAGCUGACCCAGCGACGCGCGUGGGGGAAGAAGGCUUCGGGUUGUAAACCCUUUUGCAGGGGACGACACAGGACGGUACCUGCGAAUAAGCCGCGGCUAACUGUGUUGCCAGCAGCCGCGGUAAGACAGAGGUGGCAAGCGUUGCUGCGGUUCA
rnacentral:rRNA from 1 species